CAGUCGCUGCUGAGUCAGGACAAGGAUGCUGAGGAUGUGGUGGACAAGGAUACCUGAAUACACAGAAGCAAUUGCUGAGCACAGCGGAAGACUGUUUAAUGAAAGGCUCAGCCGUAUCAAAGUCCAGCAAUGUGCCGGGACGCGGCCUAUCCAUAUCCAUAUAUUACAUCAUUUUAGCUGUCACUAACAAGGGAGAUAACUGUAGAUCUGCACCAGCACAACUGCUAAGCACAGAAGACAAAGGAGUAGUGAAAGGCUCAGCCAAAUCAAAGUCCAGCGAUGUGAGGGUGACACAGCCUUUCAAGUCCUCGUAUUGCAACAUGAAGGACAUUUUAGCUGAAACUAUCUAGGGAGAGAACUGUAGAUCUGCACCAGCACAGAGCACCAGCAUUGAUAUCGAGUUGGCCCAGCAACCACACCAGUCCUGCCUGCAGAAGCCCCAGUCCAGAUUGACCCUCCCCCUCCAUUGACUUCUAACUCCUCCCCCUUGACCUCCUGCCUCAAAAAGUCAGCAUCGUUGAACAACUCUGUUCUGCAGGAAAUUCUUAGGGUGAUUCUGUUCUGACAAACGCAAUGCCCACGUCACGUUUUCCAAACAUAAGCCUGGGUAGUUUUGUUAAGCUAGAGUACCGCGUGGGCCUGAAAGGGACGAGUGUUACAGACACAAAAAGUUAUAGCAGUAGUUAUGGUAACGCUAACAGUCAGUUGUUGCUGUUGGACAUCACAACAAAUAUCAUGAAGAAUAAAAAGUUCAAUCACUUGUUCCAAUCUUUAUGGGACAAACAGAAAUUGAACAGGAGAGAAUCAAGGAACAAUAAAAGCGUGAGCUUUCCUAGUGGCAUACGUCUGCUGUUGAUAGUUUGGACAACAGUAGGGUUACGGACUGCCCCAGAUUGUCCUCUCAGCGGCCAAAAUAUCAUAAUAGAACAGACUUUUGGCAAUGUUACUGACAAAAAAAGGCAAAAAUGACUUGGUUAUGAACACCAAGAGCGCGAUACAUCCAUGCUGACACAGAAAGGCGGUAAUAACUUGGUUUUGAAAACCCAGAGCACAAUACAUCCAUGCUGACACAGAAAGGAAGUAAUGACUUGGUUGUGAACACCCAGAGCACGAUACAUCCAUGCUGACACAGAAAAUAAGAAAUGACUUGGUUGUGAACACCCAGAGCAAGAUAUAUCCAUGCUGUUACAGAAAGGCAGUAAUGACUAUGCUGUGAACACCCAGAGCACAAUACAUCCAUGCUGACACAGAAAGGCAUUAAUGACUUGGUUGGGAACACCCAGAGCACAAUACAUCCAUGCUGACACAGAAAGGCAGUAAUGACUUGGCUGUGAACACAGAACACGAUACACCCAUGCUGACACAGAAAGGCAGUAAUGACUUGGCUGUGAACACAGAGCACAAUACAUCCAUGCUGAAACAGAAAGGCAGUCAUGACUAUGCUGUGAACACCCAGAGCACGAUAUAUCCAUGCUGACACAGAAAAGCAGUAAUGACUAUGCUGUGAACACCCAGAGCAAGAUAUAUCCAUGCUGACACAGAAAGGCAGUAAUGACUAUGCAGUGAACACCCAGAUAAAGAAUUAUCCAUGCUGACACAGAAAGGCAGUAAUGACUAUGCAGUGAACACCCAGAGCAAGAUAUAUCCAUGCUGACUCAGAAAGGCAGUAAUGACUAUGCUGUGAACACCCA